rnacentral:tRNA from 1 species
GACUUUGUAGUCUAGUGGUUAGGGCACCGCAUUGUGGCUGCGGAAACCCGUGUUCAAUUCACGGCAAGGUCA